rnacentral:rRNA from 1 species
AGCAGCCGCGGUAAUUCCAGCUCCAAUAGCGUAUAUUAAAGUUGUUGCAGUUAAAAAGCUCGUAGUUGAAUUUCGGGGUUCUACCGUUGGUCGGGCUUUGUCUGUACUGGCGUGUAGAAUUUCUACCUUCUGGGGAACCAUCAUGUUAUUAAUUUAACGUAGUGGGAAACCAGGACCUUUACCUUGAAAAAAUUAGAGUGUUCAAAGCAGGCUUAUGUCUGAAUACAUUAGCAUGGAAUAAUAGAAUAGGACGGUGGUCCUGUUUUUGUUGGUUUCUGAAUCACCGUAAUGAUUAAUAGGGAUAGUUGGGGGCAUUAGUAUUCAAUUGUCAGAGGUGAAAUUCUUGGAUUUAUUGAAGACUAACUACU